AUGAGUUCAGCCAGCAAAUAUACUAAAAUUAGCAUGAUACAGAAAAGAUUAGCAUGGCCCCUGCGCAAUAGGAUGACGUAAAAAAAAAAAUAUAUAUAUAUAUAUAU